AGCUCAGUUGGUAGAGCAUCUGACUUUUAAUCAGAGGGUCGCUGGUUCGAACCCAGCA
rnacentral:tRNA from 1 species